UAUCAAAUGCGGUCAAGGUUUGAUAUUAAAAAAAAAAAAAAAAAAAAAAUCCUCAAUUGAAAAAAACCCUAAAUUCACAAAAACUCUAAGCUCACUCUCAACCUAGCUCUCGAUCCCUAAUCUCGCCGAUCCCUUUGACUACCGACCCUCAUUUUCUAUUUUCUAUUACCAAAUCCACCACCACCUCUCUCUUUCCCUAACCCAAUCCCUAACAAAUACAAGGCAAGGCCUUCAUCUUCUUCUAAAACCGCCAUGAAAGUCCGGUCAGUGAAGCUCAGGGAGGCCCACAAGGCCUCCUCCUCCAGCAAUGGCCGUGGCGGCGGCUCCUUCUGCUCCUUGGUGUAGGACCAGCAAGCGAAUCACCUCGUCACUGCCUCCUCUUCCGAUCCUUCUAUCUCCAUCCACGACCCUCUUCUUCCGUCAAGCGCUCCCAGGAUCGUCCGCCACCACCGCGACGGCGUCACCGCCAUCGCCAUUAGCCCCAACUCCACUUGUCUCGCUUUUGGAUCCAUCGAUCACUCCGUCAAGCUCUACAAAUUUCUCGCUGGUGGAGAAUCUUCACCUGAAUUCACAAGAUCAUCUCUUAUGUUUUUUUUCUAGAAAUCAUCUUCUUGUUUCUUACAUAAAGUGUACCUUGUACUUUACAUCUUAAAGUGAAAUACAUAGUUAUUACCCAUUAAAAGCAUGUGUAUGUAGUUCUAUAAUCCGUACUUGUAAAAAAAAAAAAAAGUAGCUCUAUAAUCCGCUAGAAAAGUUUCUGCAGAUCACUUUACUUGACUUAUAUUUUUUGGUGAUAGGAUCCAAGGGAGAAGGCUAAAUCAGAGGCAAGGGAUUGGUUGAACAAUGUGGUACCAAAAUUUCUGUCAAAAAGUAGUCCUCAUAAGGGAACAAGCUUACUGUAGGGAAGUGAUGGCAGGCAUGGCAAGACUGGAACUUUGAGGUCAGUUAGGAAGUGUUGUUGCUGCGUGCUGGCUAUGGCUGUAUUUCUUCAUGCAAUUAGAAUGUAAAAAACUCUUAAAAAUUUUUUGUGAUGUAGAUGAUCUUUUGUCAGUAGAACUUACAAACUGAUAUAUUUUUUGUUGGGAACUUGCAAAAUUUUGGCAAUGAACUUCAGAAAAUUUAGUAUUUAUUA